UACACCGCUCAGUGGGUCUCCGGGGUUCUGAGGUAGCAGCUCUACUGGACCCCAGCUUUCAGAACAGCCCACUGCCCCACAGACCAUCUGGGGCUAAGAGAAGUUAGCUCUCCACUGAGGCCAGAGGCUUGAUUUUUACCUAUGAAGAGAACUGAGAAGAUGGAGAAACUGAGAAAGCAGCUGAAGCCUGAGGGGAGCUAGUAUCUUGAUGCUGUUAAAACCUCCUUUAGUUUAGUCAUCAACACCAUCAGACUUCUGGGAAGGAUAAAUUAUAGGGUUCAAUACAAUGUGUCUUGCUGUUGUCGGUGGUGAUGUCGGUUACCCAGUACGUCCAGACUCUGGGCAAGGAAUGGAGUGAAGAAUUACACCUUCUUCUCAGU